GACGAACGCUGGCGGCGUGCCUAAUACAUGCAAGUCGAGCGAAGCGGCGGAUGGGUGAGUAACGCGUGGGUAACCUGCCCUUAAGUCUGGGAUACCAUUUGGAAACAGAUGCUAAUACAGGAUACUUACGGAUGGUCUUGCGAUGCAUUAGCUAGUUGGUAAGGUAACGGAUUACAAAGGCGAUGAUGCAUAGCCGAGUGUAGAGGCUGAGCAGCCCCAUUGGAACGUAGACACGGCCAAAACUCCUACGGGAGGCAGCAGUAGGGAAUCUUCCACAAUGGACGAAAGUCUGAUGGAGCAACGCCGCGUGAGUGAAGAAGGUUUUCGGAUCGUAAAGCUCUUUUGUUGGGGAAGCGGGAAUCAAAGAGAAAGUCACGGCUAACUACGUGCCAGCAGCCGCGGUAAUAG
rnacentral:rRNA from 1 species